GGUAGCCGACCUGAGAGGGUGACCGGCCACACUGGGACUGAGACACGGCCCAGACUCCUACGGGAGGCAGCAGUGGGGAAUAUUGCACAAUGGGCGGAAGCCUGAUGCAGCGACGCCGCGUGAGGGAUGAAGGCCUUCGGGUUGUAAACCUCUUUCAGCAGGGACGAAGCGUGAGUGACGGUACCUGCAGAAGAAGCACCGGCUAACUACGUGCCAGCAGCCGCGGUAAUACGUAGGGUGCGAGCGUUGUCCGGAAUUACUGGGCGUAAAGAGUUCGUAGGCGGUUUGUCGCGUCGUUUGUGAAAACCCGGGGCUCAACUUCGGGCUUGCAGGCGAUACGGGCAGACUUGAGUGUUUCAGGGGAGACUGGAAUUCC
rnacentral:rRNA from 1 species